rnacentral:rRNA from 1 species
UGCCCAGUGACAUUUCUGUUCAACGGCCGCGGUAUCCUGACCGUGCAAAGGUAGCAUAAUCAUUUGCCUUUUAAUUGGAGGCUAGUAUGAAUGGGUAGACGUAGAUUCAACUGUUUCUUUAUUAUAAAUAAAACUUAAACUUUAGGUGAAGAUGCCUAAAUAUCAUAGAAAGACAAGAAGACCCUAUAGAGUUUUAGUAAGAAACCUACCCCCUUUAGGCUAUUACUUUGGUUGGGGCGACCUAGGAUUUUUAUAAACAUCCUUUUAUUCUACGAUCCAUAAAUCUCUAUUAUAGACCCUUAAAUGGAUUAUUAGAAAUAACUACCUUAGGGAUAACAGGCUUAUCUUCCUAGAGAGCUCUUAUUGAUAGGAUGGUUUG